CCACCGCGGUUAUACGAGUAACUCAUAUUAAUACUUCACGGCGUAAAGGGUGAUUAAAAGUUUCUAAAAAGUACUAAAGUUAUAACCUUAUAAAGCUGUCAUACGCACCCAUAAAAGGAAUAAUACACCAACGAAAGUAACUUUAACCCAAUAGAGCUUUUGAAUUCACGACAGUUAAGACACAAACUAGGAUUAGAUACCCUACUAUGCCUAACCAUAAAUAGACCCUACCACUACUUACCUUGUCUAAGUCCGCCCGAGUACUACAAGCGCUAGCUUAAAACCCAAAGGACUUGGCGGUGCCCCAGACCCCCCUAGAGGAGCCUGUUCUAUAACCGAUAAUCCACGUUAAACCUUACCACUUCUUGCUUAUACCGCCUAUAUACCGCCGUCGUCAGCUCACCCCAUGAGGGCACAAAAGUAAGCAUAACGGAUUUCCUCCAAAACGUCAGGUCGAGGUGUAGCGAAUGAAGUGGAAAGAAAUGGGCUACAUUUUCUUUAAAGAAAACACGGACAGUAAAAUGAAAAAUCACUUAUAAGGUGGAUUUAGCAGUAAGAAAAACUUAGGACAUUUUUCUGAAACUGGCUCUGAGGCGCGCACACACCGCCCGUCACUCUCCUCAACCUAUUACACUCAAUUCUAUAAACAACUUUAUAUCAUAAGAGGAGACAAGUCGUAACAU
rnacentral:rRNA from 1 species